rnacentral:tRNA from 1 species
GCCUCAGUAGCUCAGUGGUUAGAGCGGUCGGCUGUUAACCGAUAGGUCGUAGGUUCGAGCCCUACUUGGGGCGCCA